GAAGUGAGCGUAAGGGUGCGUAACAGUAUGCAUCUACCCGCAACAGGAGGAUAGCUCCCCGAAAGGGGAAUUAAUACUCCAUAAGAUCACACGAAGGCAUCUGAGAGUGAUUAAACUACAAGGGGUUGCGGAUGAGCAUGCGUUUGAUUAGUUAGUUGGUGAGGUAACGGCUCACCAAGACGAUGAUCAAUAGGGAACUGAGAGGUUGAUCCCCCACACUGGCACUGAGAUACGGGCCAGACUCCUACGGGAGGCAGCAGUAGGGAAUAUUGGUCAAUGGGUGAGAGCCUGAACCAGCCAUGCCGCGUGCAGGAAGAAGGCCUUCUGGGUUGUAAACUGCUUUUGCCAGGGGAUUAAAAUAGCUUUGCGAAGCAAAAUUGAAGGUACCUGGUGAAUAAAGCCACGGUAACUACGUGCCACAGCCGCGGUAAUACGUAGUGCAAGCGUUGUCCGGAUUUAUGGGGUUAAGGGUGCGUAGCGGUUCCCAUAAUUCAGGUGAAAUACAGCCGGUUUAACGGUUGAGGUGCCAUUGAUACUGGGGAACUUGAGUNCAGACAAGGUAGGGGAAUUGACGGGUUUACGGGGGAAAUGCUUAAUUUC
rnacentral:rRNA from 1 species